CUUUCAACUCCCCAUUUUCAGCCAGUUUCAGCACUUCAUCCAUGAGUUUUGCCACUUCAGUAUCCAGAGACGAAAGUUGCUGCAAUAUUGAGACAUCCAUCUUGGCCUAAUAGGAGGAGGGUCAUCGACUUGUGGAAUGCAUUGGUCUCGUUGUGUCGGUGGGACAGCCACAUUGAGAGAUCAUGUGUCAGGUCUGCGUAGACUACGCACCAACGGGUCUCAAGAGUUGGAUCCUGGCCUCUCAUCUGUCUACUGGCUGUUACUAGAUGCUGUCCUCCCAAAACCUGGUACUCAUAGUCAUCCACCUUAGUGCCAUGACAUAGUCUUCAUCAAUGGACCUUACUUGAACACCAAUCUUCAGCCGAUCUAUCUUUAUCUGGAAGUGGCCUGUAAAAAAUAAAGAUGACCUGGAGGAAGCCUCUGGAGAUGCCACCAGCUCUUCAGUUACAUCCAUGUCCUGAUCGCUGUCAGAACUCUCAUCUGGAAACAUUAUCUCCUUGAACUUUCCGACAAAGCCAACGGCAGUGGUCUGUGCUUUAAAGAUUCUACUGAACUGUGUUUUACUCCAUUCAAAACUACUCCUUGAUAGUACUUGGGACUUAUCUUCUUUCCCACUGAAUUUGAUCUGAAAUUAUUACGAAAAAGAAAACGAAAAAUCAAAAAAGAAGUUACUUUCUGUUCUGCAUCCGGUUACCCUACCUAGGUAGGGUACAGGUAGGGUACCUACCCUAUUCUGACAUCCCCUACCCUUAUUUUUUGUACGGAAAAAAAAUGAGGGGGAAAAAAGGACCCAAACCAUUAAUUUAUACCUUUUACC